UUUUUGGGGAAUAUCAACUUUUUCUAAAUAAAAAAGUAAUUAAAUAAUUGUAUGAAAAAGUUGAGCCAGAGAGGGAUCGAAGGUCGGGUGGCCGCCCAAACCCUAGGGGCACCUGCCCAGGCACAGAGGCCAUUCACCGUCGCUUUUCUCCUUUACCAUCCUUAGACCUUCCUUAUUUGUAAAAAGAAUAUUUUCUGGAUAUUUUUCCAUUCCUCGUCACGACAUU
rnacentral:lncRNA from 1 species